AUUGAACGCUGGCGGCAGGCCUAACACAUGCAAGUCGAACGAGUGGCGGACGGGUGAGUAAUGUCUGGGAAACUGCCUGAUGGAGGGGGAUAACUACUGGAAACGGUAGCUAAUACCGCAUACCAUCAGAUGUGCCCAGAUGGGAUUAGCUAGUUGGUGGGGUAACGGCUCACCAAGGCGACGAUCCCUAGCUGGUCUGCGCGGAGGACCAGCCACACUGGAACUGGGACACGGUCCAGAAUCCUACGGGAGGCAGCAGUGGGGAAUGUUUGGCAAUGGGCGAAAGCAUGAUACAGCCAUGCCGAGUGUAUGAAGAAGGCCUGCGGGUUGUAAAGUACUUUCAGCAGGGAAGCGUUACCCGCAGAAGGAGCACCGGCUAACUCCGUGCCAGACGCCGCGGUAAUUC
rnacentral:rRNA from 1 species